rnacentral:sRNA from 1 species
UGAACUGGAUCCCAAGGCACCUGG